GGUUAAGCGACUAAGCGUACACGGUGGAUGCCCUGGCAGUCAGAGGCGAUGAAGGACGUGCUAAUCUGCGAUAAGCGUCGGUAAGGUGAUAUGAACCGUUAUAACCGGCGAUUUCCGAAUGGGGAAACCCAGUGUGAUUCGUCACACUAUCAUUAACUGAAUCCAUAGGUUAAUGAGGCGAACCGGGGGAACUGAAACAUCUAAGUACCCCGAGGAAAAGAAAUCAACCGAGAUUCCCCCAGUAGCGGCGAGCGAACGGGGAGGAGCCCAGAGCCUGAAUCAGUGUGUGUGUUAGUGGAAGCGUCUGGAAAGGCGCGCGAUACAGGGUGACAGCCCCGUACACAAAAAUGCACAUGCUGUGAGCUCGAUGAGUAGGGCGGGACACGUGGUAUCCUGUCUGAAUAUGGGGGGACCAUCCUCCAAGGCUAAAUACUCCUGACUGACCGAUAGUGAACCAGUACCGUGAGGGAAAGGCGAAAAGAACCCCGGCGAGGGGAGUGAAAAAGAACCUGAAACCGUGUACGUACAAGCAGUGGGAGCACGCUUCGGCGUGUGACUGCGUACCUUUUGUAUAAUGGGUCAGCGACUUAUAUUCUGUAGCAAGGUUAACCGAAUAGGGGAGCCGAAGGGAAACCGAGUCUUAACUGGGCGUUAAGUUGCAGGGUAUAGACCCGAAACCCGGUGAUCUAGCCAUGGGCAGGUUGAAGGUUGGGUAACACUAACUGGAGGACCGAACCGACUAAUGUUGAAAAAUUAGCGGAUGACUUGUGGCUGGGGGUGAAAGGCCAAUCAAACCGGGAGAUAGCUGGUUCUCCCCGAAAGCUAUUUAGGUAGCGCCUCGUGAAUUCAUCUCCGGGGGUAGAGCACUGUUUCGGCAAGGGGGUCAUCCCGACUUACCAACCCGAUGCAAACUGCGAAUACCGGAGAAUGUUAUCACGGGAGACACACGGCGGGUGCUAACGUCCGUCGUGAAGAGGGAAACAACCCAGACCGCCAGCUAAGGUCCCAAAGUCAUGGUUAAGUGGGAAACGAUGUGGGAAGGCCCAGACAGCCAGGAUGUUGGCUUAGAAGCAGCCAUCAUUUAAAGAAAGCGUAAUAGCUCACUGGUCGAGUCGGCCUGCGCGGAAGAUGUAACGGGGCUAAACCAUGCACCGAAGCUGCGGCAGCGACACUAUGUGUUGUUGGGUAGGGGAGCGUUCUGUAAGCCUGUGAAGGUGGCCUGUGAGGGUUGCUGGAGGUAUCAGAAGUGCGAAUGCUGACAUAAGUAACGAUAAAGCGGGUGAAAAGCCCGCUCGCCGGAAGACCAAGGGUUCCUGUCCAACGUUAAUCGGGGCAGGGUGAGUCGACCCCUAAGGCGAGGCCGAAAGGCGUAGUCGAUGGGAAACAGGUUAAUAUUCCUGUACUUGGUGUUACUGCGAAGGGGGGACGGAGAAGGCUAUGUUGGCCGGGCGACGGUUGUCCCGGUUUAAGCGUGUAGGCUGGUUUUCCAGGCAAAUCCGGAAAACUAAGGCUGAGGCGUGAUGACGAGGCACUACGGUGCUGAAGCAACAAAUGCCCUGCUUCCAGGAAAAGCCUCUAAGCAUCAGGUAACAUCAAAUCGUACCCCAAACCGACACAGGUGGUCAGGUAGAGAAUACCAAGGCGCUUGAGAGAACUCGGGUGAAGGAACUAGGCAAAAUGGUGCCGUAACUUCGGGAGAAGGCACGCUGAUAUGUAGGUGAAGCGACUUGCUCGUGGAGCUGAAAUCAGUCGAAGAUACCAGCUGGCUGCAACUGUUUAUUAAAAACACAGCACUGUGCAAACACGAAAGUGGACGUAUACGGUGUGACGCCUGCCCGGUGCCGGAAGGUUAAUUGAUGGGGUUAGCGGUAACGCGAAGCUCUUGAUCGAAGCCCCGGUAAACGGCGGCCGUAACUAUAACGGUCCUAAGGUAGCGAAAUUCCUUGUCGGGUAAGUUCCGACCUGCACGAAUGGCGUAAUGAUGGCCAGGCUGUCUCCACCCGAGACUCAGUGAAAUUGAACUCGCUGUGAAGAUGCAGUGUACCCGCGGCAAGACGGAAAGACCCCGUGAACCUUUACUAUAGCUUGACACUGAACAUUGAGCCUUGAUGUGUAGGAUAGGUGGGAGGCUUUGAAGUGUGGACGCCAGUCUGCAUGGAGCCGACCUUGAAAUACCACCCUUUAAUGUUUGAUGUUCUAACGUUGACCCGUGAUCCGGGUUGCGGACAGUGUCUGGUGGGUAGUUUGACUGGGGCGGUCUCCUCCUAAAGAGUAACGGAGGAGCACGAAGGUUGGCUAAUCCUGGUCGGACAUCAGGAGGUUAGUGCAAUGGCAUAAGCCAGCUUGACUGCGAGCGUGACGGCGCGAGCAGGUGCGAAAGCAGGUCAUAGUGAUCCGGUGGUUCUGAAUGGAAGGGCCAUCGCUCAACGGAUAAAAGGUACUCCGGGGAUAACAGGCUGAUACCGCCCAAGAGUUCAUAUCGACGGCGGUGUUUGGCACCUCGAUGUCGGCUCAUCACAUCCUGGGGCUGAAGUAGGUCCCAAGGGUAUGGCUGUUCGCCAUUUAAAGUGGUACGCGAGCUGGGUUUAGAACGUCGUGAGACAGUUCGGUCCCUAUCUGCCGUGGGCGCUGGAGAACUGAGGGGGGCUGCUCCUAGUACGAGAGGACCGGAGUGGACGCAUCACUGGUGUUCGGGUUGUCAUGCCAAUGGCACUGCCCGGUAGCUAAAUGCGGAAGAGAUAAGUGCUGAAAGCAUCUAAGCACGAAACUUGCCCCGAGAUGAGUUCUCCCUGACUCCCUGAGAGUCCUGAAGGAACGUUGAAGACGACGACGUUGAUAGGCCGGGUGUGUAAGCGCAGCGAUGCGUUGAGCUAACCGGUACUAAUGAACCGUGAGGCUUAACCUU
rnacentral:rRNA from 1 species